AGAUCAUGUUGAGGACAAUUCCUUAACAUCCCCUUGUGCUUCCAAGCUUCGUAUAGUGACUCCCCCGGUUGUUGCUCAAAGCUGGCUAUUGCCUUCUUGAGUUU